AGGCGGCCACUUUGAGCCUGUUCCCUGACACACUUUGGAGUCCUUUGACGUAGCUGGCAGCGUACUUUCCGGCGAGGUAUGGGUCCUCUCCGGGAGUCUCUUGGCCUCUCCCCCACCGUGGGUCCCUGAAUAUGUUCACGUUCGGGCUCCAAAAUGUCAGCCCUGCCGCCCCUCCGUUGUACAUCGCCCUCGCCUCGUCCGACACCACCUGCGUCACUCAAGUAUCCGGAUUAAUUAGUAACCUUUUCCAAUAUCAAACUAUAUAUAAUAUACUAAUUUUUGUGCUUUAUAAAAUUGAUUGAUUAUGUUGGACCUUAUCCGAUUCGACGAAUUAGACUUAGACAUCAAGUGUGUUUAACAACUAAAUUGACAAAAAAAAGUCGAUGACUGAUGGUUACAUGAACGGAUGAAGGUAAUCAACGCAAGCAACUUCAAUUCAAAUGUGUCCAUUUCUUUGUAACCAUGCAAGAAAAAUCAAAAGGUUAAGGUGGAAAAUAUAAUAAAAUUAAAAAAUUAAAAGUAAUCCCCGGCCCCGGGUAUCUUUUCGGUUGGAAAAGUUUAGGGAAUUGGGUAAUUGUCAUGAGAGUUGUAUGUGGGCCCAAUGGACUGGAUCCGUAACACAAUUGGGCACGUAAAUGGUUCAAGGGUGGUUAGCAAUCAACAAUCUAAUUUAGUACAUUUAGAUUGAUUAAACACAAUUCUCUAUGGUACAAUCACAUCAUUAACGCCGAUUAAUUAGUUUCUGAAACAAACUAGAAAAAGCUACAAUUCUGUGAUGCAAUCCUAGCUAGAUCAAUUACUGCCCUUAAUUACUGAUUUGGACUCACAAACUAAUUGGUUGUUGGGCCGGUGAAAACUAUAGUAAAAGAUAUAUAAGUGUACGACAUCAGCAGUAAUAAAAAAGAACAAGACAGUAACUUUUAAGGUAGUAUANNNNNNNUCCCCCCCCCCCCAUGCCGAUGAUGCCACCCAAAAACUUAACCCACACACUCACCCAUCAUUAUACCCAUCCGUGACUCAAACUCAAAACCGAAAUUCAAAAGUUAAUAUUUAUACGUACCCGGCCGAUUUGCUCCCAAAGGGUGGAGUUGAAGGAAGCGGCGGGGGGGGGGGGAAGAGGGGAGCGGGAGGGAGGGGGGGGGGGGAACCGGCAACAUGACAGCAGNNNNNNNNNNNNNNNNNNNNNNNNNNNNNNNNNNNNAGAGCCUCCGACCACCACUCGUAGCCUUGAAUCCCGAGCCUGGGAACCGCCGCAGCAUUGUUGACAAGCAGCCUGAUCUUCUCCUGCAAUGUCAGCCGUCCGAUCAAGUCCCUCACCCUGAUGUGCAACGGCACCCGAACCCUGCAGAACUUCAGGCUCCGGGUUCCGGGGCUACGAGGGUCGCAGGCGAACGGCACCCUAGACUCCGACGAAUGAAUGAGGAGGAAGAAGAACAGGAAGAGGAAGGGUAGUGUCGUUUUGGUCUGAGCCAUUGUGUUGUAGUGUCGUUUUUGGGUUUGUGGGUAGUGAUAGUGUGGGAGAGUAUUUAUAGGGAGUGGGAGGAGAGGAGAAAUGGAGAUGAAUAUAAGGUUGCGUUUGGAUUGGCGAUGGAGGAAAAGUCAUGUUUGUUUUGAUGAUUGGGUUUCCACGUCAAUAUUGUUAGCCCAUCAAAAAGCUUCACACUAGAUAAGUGACUAUGUUUUUAGAUUGGUCAGUAGAGCACGCAUUUCGCACUUAUUUUUUAUAAAAAACAAAAUUCAGAAACUAAAAUUAAAAAUAAGAAUUGCCCAUAACCAAGCACGAUUUUGAACACUAUCAAAUCAUAUAUUUCUGAUUCAUUAUGUCUUCUACAGAUAGUAGUUUGGAAUACAAUAAGGUGGUAACGAAUUUUGAUAUAAUUUUUAAAAAAAACUUCUCCUAAUAAUUUGAAUUAUUAAAAUUUAAUAUAUAGUGCAUUUUCUAGCGAGCGACCAGGACCUACGGACUUAAGGAGUAGUGAUAGUGGAUAAAAAAUGGGGUCACGGACCACUGAGAAUCUGUUUCCAGUCAGCUGGUGGAAAUAUUGAGAUCUAAAUAAUUAUUGGUAUGGUAUUUAUUUUACUUAUUUUUUGGCUUCACGUUCCACCCACUCUGAAAUGAAUUUGUACAUAUGCACAUUUCAAGUAUUCUCUCCUAGUUGUUAGCUAGGCCCAUUAAACAACGAGGCAUCCGGCAUCCCCCUAAGAAAACAGCGACCAUGCUGUGUUAGCUUUUUGUUUUCUAUCCAAUCCAUAAUUCUUUUUUAUCGUUGUGUGUUCAAAUCUUUAAACGAUCAUAUACUCGACUUUUCAUGAUUCCAAUAUUAAAAGUUGGUUUAAACACAAUGUAUGAUGGACAUGUGCAAACUUCAACUUCAUGAGUUGAUUUUCGUU
rnacentral:lncRNA from 1 species